rnacentral:lncRNA from 1 species
UCUGCUUUCAUACAUAUAUGUAUGUGAAUAUAUAAUUUAAUACAUCAAUCACUGUCAUUAUUUACACAACUACUUUACAACAACAAAAAAACUAGCAUCCUUUAUCCAAUAAUAUAAAUGUAGAUGUCUUGUUGGUUUAUCCAUUUGCCAAUGCUUUUUUGAGUUCCAGCCCCAUCAGUUCCCAAUGUCUGAAAAUUGUCAGGUCUAACAAGCUAUUUCGAGCAAUUCUAGGUCCAAUUUCUGUUAAGUCCAUGAAGGAGAUGAGCUUCAUGCGAAUUCCAA